rnacentral:rRNA from 1 species
AUUGAACGCUGGCGGCAUGCCUUACACAUGCAAGUCGAACGGCAGCACGGGAGCAAUCCUGGUGGCGAGUGGCGAACGGGUGAGUAAUAUAUCGGAACGUGCCCAGUCGUGGGGAUAACGUAGCGAAAGCUACGCUAAUACCGCAUACGAUCUAUGGAUGAAAGCGGGGGAUCGCAAGACCUCGCGCGAUUGGAGCGGCCGAUAUCAGAUUAGGUAGUUGGUGAGGUAAAGGCUCACCAAGGCGACGAUCAGUAGCUGGUUUGAGAGAACGACCAGCCACACUGGAACUGAGACACGGUCCAGACUCCUACGGGAGGCAGCAGUGGGGAAUUUUGGGACAAUGGGGGGCAACCCUGAUCCAGCAAUGCCGCGUGAGUGAA